rnacentral:rRNA from 1 species
AGACCCGAAACCCGGUGAUCUAGCCAUGGGCAGGUUGAAGGUUGGGUAACACUAACUGGAGGACCGAACCGACUAAUGUUGAAAAAUUAGCGGAUGACCUGUGGCUGGGGGUGAAAGGCCAAUCAAACCGGGAGAUAGCUGGUUCUCCCCGAAAGCUAUUUAGGUAGCGCCUCGUGAAUUCAUCUCCGGGGGUAGAGCACUGUUUCGGCUAGGGGGCCAUCCCGGCUUACCAACCCGAUGCAAACUGCGAAUACCGGAGAAUGUUAUCACGGGAGACACACGGCGGGUGCUAACGUCCGUCGUGAAGAGGGAAACAACCCAGACCGCCAGCUAAGGUCCCAAAGUCAUGGUUAAGUGGGAAACGAUGUGGGAAGGCCCAGACAGCCAGGAUGUUGGCUUAGAAGCAGCCAUCAUUUAAAGAAAGCGUAAUAGCUCACUGGUCGAGUCGGCCUGCGCGGAAGAUGUAACGGGGCUAAACCAUGCACCGAAGCUGCGGCAGCGAACGUAUCACUUAAAGCGAUUCAGCGGGUUACGAUUGACGGAGCGAAGCGACGUCAAAGCGUAUACAAAGUCGAGUCGGUUUAAGGAUACGUUCGUUGGGUAGGGGAGCGUUCUGUAAGCCUGCGAAGGUGGCCUGUGAGGGUUGCUGGAGGUAUCAGAAGUGCGAAUGCUGACAUAAGUAACGAUAAAGCGGGUGAAAAGCCCGCUCGCCGGAAGACCAAGGGUUCCUGUCCAACGUUAAUCGGGGCAGGGUGAGUCGACCCCUAAGGCGAGGCCGAAAGGCGUAGUCGAUGGGAAACGGGUUAAUAUUCCCGUACUUGGUGUUACUGCGAAGGGGGGACGGAGAAGGCUAUGUUGGCCGGGCGACGGUUGUCCCGGUUU